CUGGUUCAGUUUUGGUGCGAUUGCACUGAGAAAUAAAGAUCAUAUUUCCAUUGCAAAAAAAAUUUGUAGGAUUAUUAGCGGUACAUUUUCGAAAAAUUUUAAAUUUUUGAAUCAUUCAUAUCUACAUACAGCGACAUGUCGUGUAACCCUUCCAGACUUGAGCAGUUGAUUGAAACCGCGAAUUUGAAGAGAAGAAGUGAAACAGACAAGGAAAUAUUGAAAUACCACAUGGAACAAGAUCAGCUUAGAUUGGCAAAAUGCAACUAUGUCCCAGAAAACAGUUUAAAGUGGAAGAAUUCCACGUUUAACAGAUCCACCAUUUCGGGAAGGACACAUUUUAAUCUUGUGUAAAUAUUUUGCAUUGUAAUAACAAAUGCCCCUUAAGUUUAUUUUGUUUUAAAUUAAAAUAUGUACUAUCAUUAACUUAUGAUGCACAAAGCAAGUUGCACAUUUAAAUACGUUGAGUAUGUAUCAACAUUUGGAAAAUCUUAAUUGUGUAAUGUAUUCUCUUGGCUGUAAAUUUGUUAAAUAACCAUAAAUAAAUAUGUAACAUAAUUUUGUCUGCAGAAAUACUUAUUGAGCCUAUAUAAACAUACAUACUUAUAAGACGAACUUAUUCUAUUUACAUACAUAUUUGUAUAUGUAACACAAAUUGAAAUUGACGAGAUGCCGUUUUCGUGAAAAUUAACCGAUAUUGCACAAUAACUAUCAUCUUAACUAUGUCGUAGAAAAUCUGUAACAAUUAAAUAAUACAUAAUUCGCCACAUAUGUGCAAGGUAAAUGGAUAUGUAAAUAAUAGUAUUAAAUAUACAUGUAAAUAUCACUUAAA